UACGUAGGGUGCAAGCGUUGUCCGGAAUUAUUGGGCGUAAAGAGCUCGUAGGCGGCUUGUCGCGUCGGCUGUGAAAACCUGGGGCUCAACCCCGGGCCCUGCAGCCGAUACGGGCAAGCUAGAGUUCGGUAGGGGAGACGUGGAAUUCCUGGUGUAGCGGUGAAAUGCGCAGAUAUCAGGAGGAACACCGGUGGCGAAGGCGGGUCUCUGGGCCGAAACUGACGCUGAGGAGCGAAAGCGUGGGAGCAAACAGG
rnacentral:rRNA from 1 species